rnacentral:rRNA from 1 species
UUCGGCUCAACCGAAGAACUGCAUCAGAAACUGUCAAUCUUGAGUGCAGAAGAGGAGAGUGGAACUCCAUGUGUAGCGGUGGAAUGCGUAGAUAUAUGGAAGAACACCAGUGGCGAAGGCGGCUCUCUGGUCUGUAACUGACGCUGAGGCUCGAAAGCAUGGGUAGCGAACAGGAUUAGAUACCCUGGUAGUCCAUGCCGUAAACGAUGAGUGCUAAGUGUUGGGAGGUUUCCGCCUCUCAGUGCUGCAGCUAACGCAUUAAGCACUCCGCCUGGGGAGUACGACCGCAAGGUUGAAACUCAAAGGAAUUGACGGGGGCCCGCACAAGCGGUGGAGCAUGUGGUUUAAUUCGAAGCAACGCGAAGAACCUUACCAGGUCUUGACAUCCUUUGACCACCUAAGAGAUUAGGUUUUCCCUUCGGGGACAAAGAGACAGGUGGUGCAUGGCUGUCGUCAGCUCGUGUCGUGAGAUGUUGGGUUAAGUCCCGCAACGAGCGCAACCCUUGUUAAUAGUUGCCAGCAUUAAGUUGGGCACUCUAUUGAGACUGCCGGUGACAAACCGGAGGAAGGUGGGGAUGACGUCAAGUCAUCAUGCCCCUUAUGACCUGGGCUACACACGUGCUACAAUGGGCAGUACAACGAGAAGCGAACCUGUGAAGGCAAGCGGAUCUCUUAAAGCUGUUCUCAGUUCGGACUGUAGGCUGCAAC